CGGAGAGCACGACGCGCGAGACGUGGCAGCGCCGCGGCUCCGGGGGCAGGGCAGGAGCCUGGAAGUUUCGCAGUGCACCUGGACGCUCGGGAUCGCCGCUUCUAGUCCGACUGCCGUCGCAGACGAGCUGGCAAAAUCCGGAGCGGCGACAGGUGGCUAGAUAAAAUAAAUUAAAAAAAAAAAAAAAAGGGAAGGAAAUCAGACACAUGCUACAACAUGAAUGAACCUUGAGGACAUGCUAACUGAAAUAAGCUAGUCACAAAAAGGUAAAUACUAUAUGAUUCCAUUUAUAUAUGAGGUACCUGGAGUAGUCAUAUUCAUAGAGACAGAAAAUAGAAUGGUAGUUGCCAGGGGCUUGGGGGAGGGGGAAUAGGGAGUUGUUUAAUGAUUACAAAGUUUAAGUUUUGCAAGAUAAAAAAAAAUUCUGGAGAUGUUUUCCUUAACAUUGUGAAUGUACUUAACAUUAUUGAACUGUACGCUUAAAAAAUGGUUAAGAUGAUAAGUUUCUAAGUGGUAAAAUACGUGUAUUUUACCACAUUUAAAAAGGUGAUUUUUUUUUUAAGUUUUAUUUAACUAAUGUCUACACCUAAUGUGGGGCUCAGACUCAGACCCGAGAUCAAGAGUCGCAUGCUCCUCUGACUGAGACGACCAGGUGCCUCUAAAAAAAUUUUUUUUUUUUUUAAAGAUUUUAUUUUUAUUUAUUUGACAGAGAGAGACACAGCGAGAGAGGGAACACAAACGGGGAGUGGGAGAGGGAGAAGCAGACUCCCUGCCGAACAGGGAGCCCGAUGCGGGACUCGAUCCAGGGACUCCAGGAUCAUGACCUGAGCCGAAGGCAGUCGCUUAACCAACUGAGCCACCCAGGCGUCCCUAAAAAAAUUUUUUUUAAUGCACAUGUUUCAUUUGGUGCCUCCAGCGUUUUCAGAAUUUGCUUGUCAUCCUUGUGCAGGGGCCAUGCUAAUCUUCUCUGUCUUCCGUUCCAAUUUUAAUGUAUGUGCUGCCGAAGUGAGCACGGAACCUCCCGCAUCUUCAGCUUUCUGUGCCUGGUCCGUUUGGGCAUCUCCAUUUUCUGCAGGGUUAUUCCCAUCCUCGCCAGGAUUGGCUUUCCCUUUUUUCUCUUUGGGUCCCUUCUUUCCCUUCUUUGAAGGACGCUUUCCAGGUGUAGGUUCUGGCUUUGGAAGAGCAGGUUUAGAGUUGGAGGCAUCAGGAUGAACUCAUGUUUAGCUUAAUACACAGAUGGCUGUACAUGGAAAUAUUUAUAGAUAUAUGUAUAUACACAGGUUGGUAUACACACAUAUAUUUCCUUGCUCUGUCAACUGAGAGGACCUAGAAGCAACAGCAACUCAGUAGCAGUGAGCACACCUAGUACCCAGAUCUUGGCUUCUAAUACCAUCAUUCUCCAAUAAAAGGAACCAAGGCUCCUUGGAGAAAUGGCUGAUUCUAGGGCUGGGGCAGGGAAUACACAAAAAUAAAAUUAAAAGGCAACCUAUGGAAUGGGAGAAAUAUUUGCCAAUCAUAUAUCCGAUAAGGGAUUAAAAUAUAUAAAGAACUCAUACAACUCAAUAGCAAAAAACCAAUCUGAUUAAAAAAUGGGCAGUGGAUCUGAACAGACAUGAUUCCAAAGAAGACAUACAGAUGGCCAACAGGUACAACAUCACUAGUCGUCAGGGAAAUGUAAAACCAUAAUGAGAUUAGUAGAAUGGAUUUUAUCCAUUUUUAGAUAGAUAUUAUCAAAAAGACAAGAGAUAACAAGCGUUGGUGAGGAUGUGGAGAAAAGGGCACCCUUGUACACUGUUGGUGGGAAUGAAAACAAUAUGGAGGUUCCUCAAAAAAUAAAAAACAGAACUAUCAUAUGAUCCAGCUAUUCCAUUUCUGGUGUAUCCAAAGAAGAUAAAAACACAAUCUUAAAGAGAUAUCUGCAAUCCCAUGUUCACUGCAGCAUUAUUCACAAUAGCCAAGAUAUGGAAACCACCUAAGUGCCCAUCAAUUGUUGAAUGGAUAAAGAAGAUGUGAUAUGAAUACACAGUGAAAUAUUCGUCAGCCAUGAGAAAGAAGGAAAUCCUGCUACUUGUGACAACAUGGAUGAAUUGGAGAUAUUAUGCUGAGUGAAAUAAACCAGAAAAAGAUAAAUACUGUAUGAUAUCACUCAUAUAUAGAAUCCAAAAGAGCCAAACUUCUAGAAACAGAGUAGAGUGGUGGUUACCAGGGGCAGAGGGGUGGGGAAAUAGGGAGAUACUGGUCAAAGGGUACAAACUUCCAGUUAUAAGAUAAAUACGUUCUGGGGAUCUAAGGUAGAGCAUGGUGAUUAUAGUUAAUAACACUGUAUUUUAUACUUGAAAGUUGCUAAGAGAGUAGAUCUUAAAUGUUCUCACCACAAAAAAGAAAUGGUGACCAUGUGAGGUGACGUGAUGGAGGUGUGAGCUGACGCAGCAAUGGUGAUCAUUUUAUACUGCAUAAGUAUAUCUCAUCAACAUACUGUACACCUGAAACUUACAGUGUUAUCUGUCCAUGUUCUCUCAACCAAACUGGGAAAAGAAAAAGAUUGAAAGAGAGAGAAUAAAAGGGAGAGGAAGGGAGAAAUACGUGAUGGUAUUUAUGUAUUUAUGCUAAAUGAUUACUAUUUAUAGGGAUGUAUAAAAGAACAUUUUUUGAAAAUGGGCUCUGGAAUCAGACUGCCUGGGUUUGAAUCCCGGUUCCUCCACUUAACUCAUUCUGUAACUUCGGAUAACUUAUGUAAUCUUAAUAUGCCUAAAAUGGAUAAUGAUAGUGUCUACCUCAUUAUGGUGUCUCUGGUGGCUAGUACAGAUCCUGGCAUAUAGGAUGUGUCUGAUGAAGUUUGUUCAAUAACUGACAGAGUGGAUGAACUAAUGACUUUUAGGAAGAUUAAAUAAGAUUAUAUAAUUUUAGUUCGCUGGCACAAUCCAAACAUUGAUUAAAAGUUUCAGCCUUAGGAUCCCUUCCUUUGCACGGGCUGUUCCGUCUGUCUGGAACACCUUUCCAUCUCUUCUGUGCCUUGUUGCUCAAGACCCAGGUCAAGCAAACUCCCCCUAGUCAGCCUUUUCCAGGUGGCCCCUUCUCGUAUUGUCCCUCGACUUCUUUUCUACCAUUAAAGCACCUCUGAGGUUGGUUUACACUGAUUUUUGUUUUUUUCAUGAUGGCUUUAUUGAGAUGUAAUUCACGUAUAAUAAAAUUCACCCAUUUGCAGUGUACAAUUCAGUGAUGUUCAGUAUGUGCAUAGAGUUGGGCAGUCAUCACCCCAAUUUUAGAAUAUUUUCACCAUCCCCCGAAGAAACCCCAUACCCAUUAGCCCCACUCCCCCUCACUCCAGCCUCUGGCAAGCACUAGUGUACUUUCUGUCCCGAUGGAUUUUUCUAUUCUAGACUUUCAUGUAAUGGACUCAUACAAAACAUGGCCUUUGUGUCUGGCUUCUCUGACUCAGCACCAUGUUUUCUAGGUUCAUCCAAGUUGUAGCAUGUGCCCGUAGUUCGUUCCUUUUCGUGGCUGAAUAAUACCUACUUCGUGGUUAUACCACAUUUUACUUACCCACUCAUCAUUUGAUGGACGUUUGGGGUAUUUACACUUUUUGGCUAUCAUGAAUAAUGCUGCUAUGAACAUAGGUACAAAUUUUGUAUGGACACAUCUCUCUUGGUAUAUGCCUAGGGGUGGAAUCGCUAGGUGAUCUGGUAACACUAUGUUGAACUUCUUGAGAAACUGCCUGUUUUCCAAGGUGGCUGCGCCAUUUUGCAUUCCCACCAGCAGUGUAUGAGGAGGUCCAAUUUCUCCAUGUCUACGAUCAUUUUUUUAGUGUACCACCGUACCAGGGAACUUCCUGAUGGCACAGAGUGUGAAAUUGUGGUUUUCUGUCACCCCAGCUCUCAGCCCAGUGCCAGUCACAGAGAGAAACUUUGUCCCCACCUCUUCCCUGCUGCACAGGACUAUAGCAGAGUCAUAAAGACAGGAUAUCUGCCAUGUUAAAAUAGAUGCUCAAGGUAGGAGUGGACUACUUUAUUACACAAAAUGCGGACACUGAGAAGUAAAAAGAUCUGCCCGAUGUCACACAGAGCCAGAGCCACAACUCAGGACUCAGGACUGGCGGCACGGAGCUCUUUCCUACCGUGCUCCACGAACUGCCUCUGAAUUUACUCCAACACCAGAGGAGAAUCAACUUUGGCU